GCGGCGGUGGCGAAACUGGCAAACGCGAUGCACUCAAAAUGCAUUGCUCGAAAGGGCUUGCGGGUUCGAGUCCCGCCCGCCGCA
rnacentral:tRNA from 1 species